rnacentral:lncRNA from 1 species
UGGAUUUCUCUACCUCAAGACUGGGCUUACGCAGUUACCCAGAUUAAAUGCUGAGCAGCUGUGCAGAUCUGCUGGCCAGAUACCAACUUAGUAUCAGGGAGUAAGGACCACAUCCUGACAGCCUGAGCACCGACACAGAUGGGGAUAAACGCUGACUUGUCUCCAGCUCCUCCUCGUCUUCCCUAGAUGGUACAGCUGUAGAGGCCCGAUUCUCUGGGCAUCUCGAUACUGAUCAGCCUUCAUGACUUCGUGGCAGACACAUCUGGCCUUUUUGAAGGAGUAAACCCAGGUCUCAAAUAUCUCUGCAUCCCAAAGGCUCAUGAGUGUCGAUGCAAAAAUUGUACCGGACAACGUCGGAGAGGAACUAUGUGAAUGUUGUUGCAACUGCAAGCCAUAUUAAAUAAUCUCCUAUUUCACACUAAAACAGAAGAAACACAGUGAGUACCUCUAUUUGCUUCCCCUAGAUCCAGUGGUCAUUACCAUUUUACACCCUUUCUUU